CGGGUGAGUAAUGUAUGGGGAUCUGCCUGAUGGCGGGGGAUAACUACUGGAAACGGUAGCUAAUACCGCAUAACGUCGCAAGACCAAGAGGGGGACCUUCGGGCCUCUUGCCAUCGGAUGUGCCCAGAUGGGAUUAGCUUGUAGGUAAGGUAACGGCUUACCUAGGCGACGAUCCCUAGCUGGUCUGAGAGGAUGAUCAGCCACACUGGGACUGAGACACGGCCCAG
rnacentral:rRNA from 1 species